rfam:Triticum aestivum genome assembly, contig: Triticum_aestivum_CS42_TGACv1_scaffold_569135_7AS
UUAAUACUUCCUCCGUCUCAAAAUUCUUGUCUUAAAUUUAUUUAAAUACGGAAGUAUCUAGUUACGUUUUAGUGUUAGAUACAUCCGUAUUUAGACAAAUCUAAGACAAAAAUUUUGGGACGGAGGGAGUAUGAU